CGGCCCGCGUCGUGCUCAUGUUUCUUGGAUUGUUCAUGUUUUUAGCCGCAAUCACUUUAAACUCUCUUUCAGGAUUUGGAGCUGAAUCAGGUGUUUUCCAGCAGAGCACGGAAGAUGUGACGCUGAAGUACACGACACAGUUCACUCCUGCACCGUGGGCUCUGUUUGUCUGGGAUUUCACUUACUUUUGGAUUUCUGCCAUGUUUAUAUACUUUUUAGCGGGACUCUGCAGAAGGACUGCUUACGACUGGUUGUACACCACGCCUGCACUGCUGCCCUACGGAUUCCAUAUCUCUAUUAUCGUCAACAUUUGCUUGAACAUCACGUGGCUGU